UACGAAGGGUGCAAGCGUUACUCGGAAUUACUGGGCGUAAAGCGUGCGUAGGUGGUUUGUUAAGUCUGCUGUGAAAGCCCCGGGCUCAACCUGGGAAUGGCAGUGGAUACUGGCAAGCUAGAGUGCGGUAGAGGGUAGUGGAAUUCCCGGUGUAGCGGUGAAAUGCGUAGAGAUCGGGAGGAACACCAGUGGCGAAAGCGACUUCCUGGUCCAAUACUGACGUCAUGUGCGGAAAGCGAU
rnacentral:rRNA from 1 species